ensembl:piRNA 21ur-10967 ncRNA
UUCUACAUUACCGGUAAUAGA